GGUAAAUCUGUGUCAANCCGGCCGCGGUAAUACCAGCUCUCCGAGUGGUAGGGGUGAUUAUUGGGCUUAAAGCGUCCGUAGCCGGCUUGGCAAGGUCUUCCGUUAAAUCCAGCAACCUAAUUGUUUGGGCUGCGGGGGAUACUGUUAGGCUAGGGGGCGGGAGAGGCCGACGGUAUUCUCGGGGUAGGGGUGAAAUCUUAUAAUCCCGGGAGGACCACCAGUGGCGAAGGCUGUCGGCUAGCACGCGCCUGACGGUGAGGGACNAAAGCUGGGGGAGCGAACCGGAUUAGAUACCCGGGUAGUCCCUGCUGUAAACGAUGCGAGCUAGGUGUUGGGGGCGGCUACGAGCCGCUUCAGUGCCGCAGCGAAGGCGUUAAGCUCGCCGCCUGGGGAGUACGGCCGCAAGGCUGAAACUUAAAGGAAUUGGCGGGGGGAGCACCACAAGGCGUGAAGCUUGCGGUUCAAUUGGAGUCAACGCCGGGGAACCUUACCGGGGGGCGACAGCAGGAUGAAGGCCAGGUUGAUGGCCUUGCUGGACGAGCUGAGAGGAGGCGCAUGGCCGUCGUCAGUUCGUGCCGUGAGGUGUCCUCUUAAGUGAGGUAACGAUCGAGACCCGCGCCCCUUGUUGCUAGCAGAUUCCAUCGGAAUCUGUGCACACUAGGGGGACCGCCGUCGAUAAGACGGAGGAAGGAGCGGGCCACGGUAGGUCAGUACGCCCCGAAUCUUCCGGGCUACACGCGUGCUACAAUGGGCAGUACAAUGGGUAUCAACCCCGAAAGGGGAAGGUAAUCUCCUAAAACUGUCCUCAGUUGGGAUCGAGGGCUGCAACUCGCCCUCGUGAACCAGGAAUCCGUAGUAAUCGCCUCUCAAAAUGAGGCGGUGAAUAUGUCCCUGCUCC
rnacentral:rRNA from 1 species